GACGAACGCUGGCGGCGUGCUUAACACAUGCAAGUCGAACGGAAAGGCCCUGCUUGCAGGGUGCUCGAGUGGCGAACGGGUGAGUAACACGUGGGUGAUCUGCCCCUUACUUUGGGAUAAGCCUGGGAAACUGGGUCUAAUACUGGAUAGGACCAUGCUGUAGGUGGUGUGGUGGAAAGAUUAGUUUCGGUAAGGGAUGAGCUCGCGGCCUAUCAGCUUGUUGGUGGGGUAAUGGCCUACCAAGGCGUCGACGGGUAGCCGGCCUGAGAGGGUGGACGGCCACAUUGGGACUGAGAUACGGCCCAGACUCCUACGGGAGGCAGCAGUGGGGAAUAGUGCACAAUGGGCGCAAGCCUGAAGCAGCGACGCCGCGUGGGGGAUGACGGCCUUCGGGUUGUAAACUCCUUUCAGCCAUGACGAAGCCCUUGUGGUGACGGUAGUGGUAGAAGAAGCACCGGCUAACUACGUG
rnacentral:rRNA from 1 species